AUUGAACGCUGGCGGCAUGCCUUACACAUGCAAGUCGAACGGCAGCACGGGGCAACCUGGUGGCGAGUGGCGAACGGGUGAGUAAUGCAUCGGAACGUACCUUUCAGUGGGGGAUAACGUAGCGAAAGUUACGCUAAUACCGCAUAUUCUGUGAGCAGGAAAGCAGGGGAUCGCAAGACCUUGCGCUGAUUGAGCGGCCGAUGUCAGAUUAGCUAGUUGGUGAGGUAAAGGCUCACCAAGGCGACGAUCUGUAGCGGGUCUGAGAGGAUGAUCCGCCACACUGGAACUGAGACACGGUCCAGACUCCUACGGGAGGCAGCAGUGGGGAAUUUUGGACAAUGGGGGCAACCCUGAUCCAGCCAUGCCGCGUGAGUGAAGAGGGCCUUCGGGUUGUAAAGCUCUUUCGGCCGGGAAGAAAUCGUAUGGGUUGAUACCCUGUGCGGAUGACGGUACCGGCAUAAGAAGCACCGGCUAACUACGUGCCAGCCGCCGCGGUAACAC
rnacentral:rRNA from 1 species